AUGGAAAGAAUCAUUAAAAUCACGGAUGUCUUGUGUUUGAAACUUCAACAUAAAUCUUUAGACAUUGCAAAUGCAUUAGAUUGUGUUUCUAACACAAAGGUGUUGCUUCAUGAACUAAGGGAAGAUGGAUGGUGCAGCCUUUUUGAAGAUGUGAAAUCCUUUUGUGUGAAACAUGAUAUUGACAUUCCGGACAUGGAUCAAAAGUAUGUUGAUGUGAUGAAAUCUCGAAAUAAGCAUGACAACGCCACAGCUAUCCAUCAUUACAAAGUGGAUGUGUUUAAUGUUGCAAUAGAUCAACAAGUGAUAGAGUUGAAUGAUCGAUUCAGUUCUCAAGUAACUGAGCUUUUAGAUCUUUGUUCAUCAUUGGACCCGAGGCAUGAUGCCUUCAGCAAGUCAAAGAUAUGCAGACUAGUGGAGAAAUUCUAUCCUGCAGAUUUUUCUAGUCAAGAAAGAGAUCGGUUGGAGUGCGAGCUACUACAUUUCCAGCUUGAUACAUUCAACCAUCCAGAGAUCAAGAACUGCAGAUCACUUGCUGAUCUAACGAAAGGAAUAGUUAAGAUUGGCAAGUCUUCUGACUAUCCAAUGGUUGAGAGGUUGUUACGAUUGAUGAUAACUCGUGUACUGCAACAGCAGAGCGAGCCUUUUCUGCAAUGA
rnacentral:rRNA from 1 species